rnacentral:tRNA from 1 species
GGGGCCGUGGCGGAAAUGGUAGACGCGCUAGAUUCAGGUUCUAGUGAGCAAUCGUGGGGGUUCGAGUCCCCCCGGCCCCACCA